rnacentral:rRNA from 1 species
AUUGAACGCUGGCGGCAGGCCUAACACAUGCAAGUCGAACGAGUGGCGGACGGGUGAGUACUGUCUGGGAAACUGCUUGAUGGAGGGGGAUACCUACUGGAAACGGUAGCUCAUACCGCAUACCAUCAGAUGUGCCCAGAUUGGAUUAGCUAGUAGGUGGGGUAACGGCUCACCUAGGCGACGAUCCCUAGCUGGUCUGAGAGGAUGACCAGCCACACUGGAACUGAGACACGGUCCAGACUCCUACGGGAGGCAGCAGUGGGGAAUAUUGCACAAUGGGCGCAAGCCUGAUGCAGCCAUGCCGCGUGUAUGAAGAAGGCCUUCGGGUUGUAAAGUACUUUAAGCGGGGAGGCGUUACCCGCAGAAGAAGCACCGGCUAACUCCGUGCCAGCAGCCGCGGUAAUAC